UUCUAGCGCUAAGGAAGGUGAAUGAGAAGGCCCAGACCAUGAUGAUAUAAUCUGCAUCUACUUCGAAUAGCCAUGACAGUACUGGGACAGAAGAUGGCAGAGUAGAAGAGACAGGUUCCCUGCUCUCCCAAAGCUUAGGGUCUGGUAGAGGACACAUACAAAGCAAUUCCAAUGGAUAAUGGUUUCAAGAACCCACACUGCCAUAUGCAAUUUGCACAGCCCUGCUGUAUCACCAGUGCCUUGCCUUAGUGUAGACACUCAAUAAAUGUUUGCUAAAAAAAUAAAUCAGAGAAGUCUGAGAGAAGUGGAUGAUCUUAUGAAGGUCAAGGCUAACAAUGGCAGGAAUCCUAGAUUUUAAGGAUGGCCAAAAAACUUGGUGUAACACAACUGGAAUGCAGAAAUGAGCUCACAGAAAGUAUACUAAAGUAUAGGAAGUGGAUCUCUGGCAAACAUAAGGAGAAGUUUCAUGGAGAGGACCAAAGUCACCACACUGUGGGGGUACCAGUGAAGUGAGGAGAAAAUUAGGAGGUCUGAAUUCCAAAAGAGCCUACAGUUCCAUAUUUGGCUAGUAGAUAAUCUGGAAAUAUUUGGCACACAGAGGUCUACCAGGAAUUCUCUGUGUCUGUUUACAAUUUCAGUGCUUCAUGCUAAAUUGUGUCAUAUAAUAUAUAUUAUCAAUUAAAAUUCUAAAUAUAGCAUUGUGAUAAGAGGACUUUUUCUGUGUUUUUACAUAGCGCUAAAAGCUCCGGAAAAUGGAUAUAUGAGCCCCUGAUGCAAAUUACCCAGGAAAAUUCGUAGAAAAAAAGACACAAGUGGAGCUACAACAUGUACAAGAAGAAAGAAAACCCUAGAUGUCGGAACAUGUGACUUUGAGACAUAAUCAGAUGAGUUACGCCAAUAGAUUUUCAAGAGAGCUCUACCUUUAUUGAAGCCUUCAACAGUUAAAUGCAAAGAAAAUUGUUAUUAAAUCAAGUCUCUCCACUCAUGAGGUUUGGAUUUAGAACCAGGAUAAUGGUGGCUUCAAAAAUAAAUCGAGGAUGUUAUUUCCCCUUAUAUUCUCUAAGAGAUUGUAUGGAAUUGGCAUUAACUCUUUCUUUAAUGGAGAGAGAGAAGACAGCCAGUAGCUGGAGACCAUGUACAGAAGUGGAGCACUGCUUGGGAAGCAAUGAACUUUACACUCUUGUGAAGGAACAGAAGCAAAAUCUUGAUUCUUUUGCAAAAGUUCUGGUGGUCAUCGGAAAGUCGGAGUGCUGGGUGCACAGAAUGGAAAAGUGGGAAAAUAUGCAGGCAACAAACAACCAGACCUCUACUCAAGGGCCAAGCUAAUCUAGAGGUGAGAGGAAGGAAAGAGGACAUCUCUGGGAUUUAAGUUCAUGUCUCUUGGAAUUGAACAAUGGUAAGUUAAAUUGUUAGUUCCUCUCAAGAA